UAAGAAUGUACUUUAAUUAAAAAUAUUAGAUUGUAAAUCUAAAGUUUUGAUUCUU
rnacentral:tRNA from 1 species